rnacentral:rRNA from 1 species
GAUGAACGCUGGCGGCGUGCUUAAUACAUGCAAGUCGAACGAAGCACCUUGGACAGAAUCCUUCGGGAGGAAGACCAUUGUGACUGAGUGGCGGACGGGUGAGUAACGCGUGGGUAACCUGCCUUGUACAGGGGGAUAACAGUUGGAAACGACUGCUAAUACCGCAUAAGCGCACAGUACCGCAUGGUACGGUGUGAAAAACUCCGGUGGUACAAGAUGGACCCGCGUCUGAUUAGCUAGUUGGUGAGGUAACGGCCCACCAAGGCGACGAUCAGUAGCCGACUUGAGAGAGUGAUCGGCCACAUUGGGACUGAGACACGGCCCAAACUCCUACGGGAGGCAGCAGUGGGGAAUAUUGCACAAUGGGGGAAACCCGUGAUGCAGCGACGCCGCGUGAGGAAGAAGUAUUUCGGUAUGUAAAGCUCUAUCAGCAGGGAAGAAAAAAAAGUAGACGGU